rnacentral:rRNA from 1 species
AUACGGAGGGUGCAAGCGUUAUCCGGAAUCAUUGGGUUUAAAGGGUCCGUAGGCGGAUUGGUAAGUCAGUGGUGAAAGUCUGCAGCUUAACUGUAGAAUUGCCAUUGAUACUGCUAGUCUUGAAUUACUGUGAAGUGAUUAGAAUGUGUAGUGUAGCGGUGAAAUGCAUAGAUAUUACACAGAAUACCAAUUGCGAAGGCAGAUCACUAACAGUAUAUUGACGCUGAGGGACGAAAGCGUGGGGAGCGAACAGGAUUAGAUACCCUAGUAGUCC